UUCCUUCUACAAGCAUCCAUAUAGCUCAAACCCUAACCAUUCAUCAACCUUAUCAGUCUUCACUCCGGCGAACGGCGAUGUCUCACUUCGGUAGAUCAGGCCCUCCGGACAUCAAAGACACCUACUCUCUGCUCGUUCUCAACGUUACUUUUCGUACCACUGCUGAUGACUUGUUUCCUCUAUUCGAUAAGUAUGGAAAAGUAGUCGAUGUCUUUAUCCCUAGAGACCGAAGGACUGGAGAUUCUAGGGGUUUUGCAUUUGUGCGCUACAAGUAUCAGGAUGAGGCUCAAAAGGCAGUGGAAAAGCUUGAUGGAAGAGUUGUAGAUGGUCGGGAAAUCAUGGUUCGAUUUGCGAAGUACGGCCCAAAUGCUGAGAGAAUUGACAAAGGUAGAAUUUUGGAGCCUGUACAAAGGACAAAAGGGAGGUCAAGAAGCCGCAGUCCUAGACCAAGGCAUCGUGAACAUAGGGACAAGGAUUCUAGAAGGAGAAGCCGAAGUAGAAGUAGAAGUAGAAGUAAGGGAAGGUAUGACCGUGAUCAGUACCGUGGAAGAGACAGAGAUAACCGUCAUCGGAGCAGAAGCCGCAGCCCUGAUUACCACAAAGGUCGUGGGAGAGGUAAAUAUGAUGAGGACAGGCGCAGCCGAAGUCGGUCUCAUGGAAGAAGUGCCUCCCCUGCUCGCCGUAGCCCCAGUCCAAGAAGGAGCCCUUCUCCACGAAGAACAACUCCUCCUAGGGAUGCUAGUCCAGAUGGACGUAAUCACAAGGACCGGUCUCCAACUCCAAAGAGUAUAUCACCGCGGGGUAGACGUGCUGGUUCCCGCAGCCCCUUGCCACGUUCUGAUGCUGAUGAUUAAGGAGCAAGGGAGGAGGCCACAGUUGUAAUCUAGCUUUGGUCGAUGCUGCGUAUCAGGACAUUCCCAAGUGAAUGAUCCUUUCAUCUGUAUUCUGCUUGCUAGAACUGGUUGGCCAGACUUAUUUAUAAGUUGGGUCCGUGAAAAGUCAAUGUGGCUGAAUCACAAGACGAUGCAGCAGCUGUUGAUGCUGUUAUAUUUGCUGUUGGUUGUAUUUUUGUUGCCGUUCACAAACUACUGUUUCUUCGCUGAAUGGCAAGGAGAUGCAGCAGCUGUAGAUGCUGUUUUAACUUGGCUGCUUAUAAUUUGUUGCUGGUGACAUACUACUGUUUGUUGGUUGAAUGCAAGCAGAUGCAGCAGCUGUUGGUGCUGUUUUAGCUUUGCUGUUGUAUUUUUGUUGCUGGUGACAAAUUACAUUUUCUAUACAAAUGUUCAGGAUGCUCAUGAUCGGUAAGGAUAAGAAUCUCCUGAAUUACUGAAGUCGCACUAGGUUUAUGCCUUUGGCCUGACAGUCAUUUCGUUUUUGUCUUAACUUCAUAUUCUUCCCUGAGAAGGUGUUAGCUGUGAUCAUCUUAAAGAUGAAAGGAAUCCACAUGUCUAAGUGUAGCAGUUGAAGUUGAUUCCAGGUCGAGAUUUGUUAUGCCGAGUAGAGAUUUCAAUAUAAGAUCAAAUCUCAAUGAGUUCCAAGGGUAGUGGUUUGACCAUAAACAUCUUACUGA